AGCUUCCUGGCAUCAUACUGACACUGAGGCUCGAAAGCGUGGGUAGCAAACAGGAUUAGAUACCCUGGUAGUCCACGCCGUAAACGAUGUCUACUAGUCGUUGGGUCCCUUGAGGACUUAGUGACGCAGCUAACGCAAUAAGUAGACCGCCUGGGGAGUACGGCCGCAAGGUUAAAACUCAAAUGAAUUGACGGGGGCCCGCACAAGCGGUGGAGCAUGUGGUUUAAUUCGAUGCAACGCGAAGAACCUUACCUGGUCUUGACAUAUCUAGAAUCCUGCAGAGAUGCGGGAGUGCCUUCGGGAAUUAGAAUACAGGUGCUGCAUGGCUGUCGUCAGCUCGUGUCGUGAGAUGUUGGGUUAAGUCCCGCAACGAGCGCAACCCUUGUCCUUAGUUACCAGCGGGUUAAGCCGGGAACUCUAAGGAUACUGCCAGUGACAAACUGGAGGAAGGCGGGGACGACGUCAAGUCAUCAUGGCCCUUACGACCAGGGCUACACACGUGCUACAAUGGUAGGUACAGAGGGCAGCUACACAGCGAUGUGAUGCGAAUCUCAAAAAGCCUAUCGUAGUCCAGAUUGGAGUCUGCAACUCGACUCCAUGAAGUAGGAAUCGCUAGUAAUCGCGGAUCAGAAUGCCGCGGUGAAUACGUUCCCGGGCCUUGUACACACCGCCCGUCACACCAUGGGAGUUGAUUGCACCAGAAGUGGAUAGCUUAACCUUCGGGGAGGCGUUCACCACGGUGUGGUUGAUGACUGGGGUGAAGUCGUAACAAGGUAGCCGUA
rnacentral:rRNA from 1 species